AUUGAACGCUGGCGGCAUGCCUUACACAUGCAAGUCGAACGGUAACAGGUUAAGCUGACGAGUGGCGAACGGGUGAGUAAUGUAUCGGAACGUGCCCAGUCGUGGGGGAUAACUACUCGAAAGAGUGGCUAAUACCGCAUACGACCUGAGGGUGAAAGCGGGGGACCGUAAGGCCUCGCGCGAUUGGAGCGGCCGAUAUCAGAUUAGCUAGUUGGUGGGGUAAAAGCCCACCAAGGCGACGAUCAGUAGCGGGUCUUAGAGGACGAUCCGCCACACUGGAACUGAGACACGGUCCAGACUCCUACGGGAGGCAGCAGUGGGGAAUCUUGGACAAUGGGCGAAAGCCUGAUCCAGCAAUGCCGCGUGCGUGAAGAAGGCCUUCGGGUUGUAAAGCGCUUUUGUCUGGGAAGAAACGGUUGUGGCUAAUAUCCAUGGCUAAUGACGGUACCUGAAGAAUAAGCACCGGCUAACUACGUGCCAGCCGCCGCCGUAACAC
rnacentral:rRNA from 1 species